AUAACACCUCGAGAUGCUUCUUUCACAACCGUGCACGAAAGAAUUCAAGAUGAGAGGUUUUGGCCUCAUUUCAAAGGUGCCAUUGGUGCAAUAGAUGGUUGCCACAUUCCAGUUACAGUACGAGCGGAUGAGGUUGUUAACUACACAGGUCGACAUGGAUUUCCAUCACAAAAUGUUAUGGCGGUUUGCGAUUUUGACAUGAGGUUUACUUUUAUUGUGGUUGGUUGGCCCGGUUCAGCACAUGACACAAGGAUCUUAAAUGAUAGCUUGGUCAAGUAUGCAGAUAAGUUCCCUACACCUCCAGCAGGUACUAAUAUAUGUUGCACCCAUUAG
rnacentral:rRNA from 1 species